rnacentral:rRNA from 1 species
UACGUAGGCAGCAAGCGUUGUUCGGAAUUACUGGGCGUAAAGAGUGUGUAGGCGGUGCUCUAAGUUUGGUGUGAAAUCUCCCGGCUAAACUGGGAGGGUGCGCCGAAAACUGGAAUGCUUGAACGUGGGAGAGGAAAGCGGAAUUCCUGGUGUAGCGGUGAAAUGCGUAGAUAUCAGGAGGAACACCUGCGGUGUAGACGGCUUUCUGGACCAUUGUUGACGCUGAGACACGAAAGCGUGGGUAGCAAACAGG